GGCAAAGGGUAUGGUGGGGUUGGAAGGGGAAUGGGCAGAACCUUCAGAGCCUGAGGGCUCCUGUCCAGGCCCCAGGGAGAAGCACUAGGAUGUCUGACUGAGGAGGCUGGGCUGGAGAACCAGUGGGACUGGCCAGCUCCUUUGGUUUGGGCUGGGCUGGCCCCUGACCUCUAUCCUCAGAAACUGACUUGGUCAUCUGUGGUAAGAAGUUCCCUCUUUUGCAGCAGAAAGAACCUUUCAAGAAAAGGUGGUUCGCCCUGGAUUGCCAUGAGCGGAGGCUGCUCUAUUACAAGAACCCACUGGAUGCCUUCGAGCAGGGCCAGGUUUUUCUUGGGAACAAGGAGCAGGGAUAUGAAGCCUAUGAAGACCUGCCCAAGGGCAUCCGAGGAAAUCGCUGGAAAGCCGGACUCACCAUUGUCACCCCAGAGCGGAGAUUUGUCCUCACUUGCCCCAAUGAGAAGGAACAGCAGGAAUGGCUGGAAAGUUUGCGGGGUGUCCUGUCCAGCCCCUUGACGCCCCUCAACCGGCUUACUGCAUCAACAGAGAGUGGCCGCAGCAGCAGGUGACCCAUUAACUGAGGAACUGGCUGCCACUGAACACCUGGAACUCCUUGUGGGAAGAAGUUUGCACCUCAGCCCUGGCUGCCCACCAUCAGUGCCCCGCAGUCAGCAGCCAUCCCUGGCAGUGAACUCUGCCAGGACUGAAGCUGUGGCUUUAUCCAUCAGCUCCCUGGGCCUUCCCCGCAACCCACCCUGGGGAUCUGAGGAUCUGGUGCAUAGAUGAACAUCUAUCCCCUCCUCCCCCAUACACACCUAGGCUUGAAAUGCCCUACCGGCCC
rnacentral:sRNA from 1 species